rnacentral:rRNA from 1 species
AGAGUUUGAUCCUGGCUCAGGAUGAACGCUAGCGGCAGGCCUAAUACAUGCAAGUCGAACGGUAACAUGAGAGCUUGCUCUUGAUGACGAGUGGCGCACGGGUGCGUAACGCGUAUGCAACCUACCUUUUACUGGGGGAUAGCCCGGAGAAAUCCGGAUUAAUACUCCAUGGUACCAUAAAGCAGCAUUACUUAAUGGUUAAAGAUUUAUUGGUAAAAGAUGGGCAUGCGUGACAUUAGUUAGUUGGUAAGGUAACGGCUUACCAAGACGAUGAUGUCUAGGGGUUCUGAGAGGAAGGUCCCCCACACUGGUACUGAGACACGGACCAGACUCCUACGGGAGGCAGCAGUAGGGAAUAUUGGUCAAUGGACGCAAGUCUGAACCAGCCAUGCCGCGUGCAGGAUGACAGCUUUCUGAGUUGUAAACUGCUUUUAUAUAGGAACAAAGAGGCCAUGCGUGGCAAGUUGCGUGUACUAUAUGAAUAAGCACCGCUAACU